CAGCCGAUUUUUAUUCUGUGCAAUAUGUGCUCAAGCUAUUCUCUUUGUAACCCUCUUUGCAAGUAUCUGAGAUCUGACCUGUUUAUCUUUCUUUUUUACUUGACUGUGGGGUAAGAACCUGCUGUUUACACUAAGUGAGGUGUGGAGCUCUCUACACAAGCCCUGCUGAGAAAAAGAAAUUCAGUCUUAACAAUUCCAACCGGAAAGGCUGUUUCAACAAUGGCACCUCGCUUGCCUCUCCUUUCAAAACUGAGUCCUAGUUUUUAUCACUUUGCAGUAGCCUCGGACACAAUACAGAGCACCAGAUGGACAUGAGGAUGUGUGAUUUUGCUCAUCGAUUCUGAAAAAGUAUUUCAGCAAAAUGAGUAACAUUAUCUCCAUCUUAAACAAGGGAAAACUGAAGCCCAGAGAAGGGUCCAGAGAGGGAAAAGCCAACGGGACACUCACCUUGGAGUCUACUAGAGUCUUUUCUGUUCAUUCCUGACUCCUUUGCUGAAGAAAAAGCCUAACAAGUCUGGAUAGUCACAGGAAAUCAUGUUGAGCUGUCAGAUUUGCGGUGGUGCUUUUUCUGCAAGCAAGUAUCUGACUGUUUCCUGCUGGCUGCUAAGGACAGCACUCAUCACAUCACUGUUUUGCUCGCCUGUGUGGCUCUUCCCAUCUACACUGCAAUUCGAUUCUGCUCACGGCUGUAUCCUCAGGGUCUUGCAGAGUAAUUGGUAUAUGGUGCUGCCUCCGCAACCCAGGAUCCUACCAGCUGCAGAAGUCGCGAGUAAUGCCAGCCGGGCUCCGAAGACUCCCUCAGCCCCCGGGGCCAGUGGACAGUGCCCACAUCCUCUGUGGCCCUCUCGCAGCUGUAGAAGACAGGCACAGGUCUUCCGUUGUGUGCAGAUAUAUUGAAUGCCUGGUAUGUACAAGAGGAGGGAAUCCACUGGUGAGUGAGCAAGACGAGGUCCCUAUCCAGUGGGGGUUAUUCUGUUGGGAGAUAAAAGAAUGAUUCAGGAGUGGGAUGUGUAUUCUGCAACUUAUCUCAAUCUUCGUCAAUAGCUAUUUCUUGCAUUUUUAAAGAAACCAUGAGAAACGUGAGGAGAGAGACUGUGUCCUUCAUCUCCUGUCUCCACAAGUGGCACAGGUCCAAGGAAAGGUGGCCUGGUUUGAGGUCAGCAGGGCUUCAUUAUUCAUAGAGGUUGCUGCCCAGUUUUGGCAGGGAGGAGGGGCUGCUUAUGGGAGGAGGGACUGGGCUUCCCAGAGGCCUGGUGGACUCCUCUCUAGCAGUGGGUGGGAAGAGGAAUUUAAUGAGCUUUUAAAGAAGACAAUAAAGAAGAUCCAAAGACCUGGCCAUCUGGACUUCUGCUCUUAAUGAGAAAGUAAUCAUGGCUCCAGAAAAUAGCUGGUUAAACUUAGAAGAGAAGCCAAGUAUGUUUAAUUUCCAUUGAAAACUGUUUGGUAGUCUCCAUGGGCAAGGCUGUGACAGUCAGUGCCACUUAAUGAGGCUGCCAUGGGCUUCUCCAGCUCAGGGAGAAGGAAGUCAGGGGACCAGGGAGGUAGGUUCAGGGCAGGGAAAAUGCUAGAGGCUCUGGGAGGUGAUUCCCUGGGUGCAGAGACGCAGCCAAGACCCCUAUGGUCAGGAGACCUAUGGUGCCCUUAGAAUCAGAGCUGAAGGAACUGUGGAGUUCAUCUGGCCCAACCCCUUUAUUAGAUGAGAAACCCGAGGCCCAUAGAGGUUAGACAGCCUGAUCAAGGUCAGACAGCUAGGUGGUGACAAAGCCAGGAGUUAGCCCUGAGUUCUCCUGACUCAGCAGGAAGCCAAGCCCCCCUCAAGUAGGAUAUGGGAAACUUGGCUGCUACCCCACCAUAUACAGACAUGUUUCAAGAUUAGUAUCUCGUCCUCCAUCCUUUCUCUCUCCCUCCCAAGAAGAACUGAAUGCCUGUAUGCUCCAGGGACUGGGAUAGGUGCUGAGGAGAGAGACGUCCAGGUAUGGUUGCAGCUCUGAGGGGUUGGCUACAGGGGAGGAAGACAUAAUAACCGCUAGGCAAUUGCAGUUUGGUGUGGUCACACAGGACACUUAAUGACCUUUAAGUGCACAGGGCCCUCCUGGCUGAGCCUGGGAACUUCAGGGACCACCUUCUGGAGGACAGGAUGCCUGUGCUGAGUCUUGAAGAAUGAGAGGGAUUCCAGCAUGGGACAGGCUUUGAGAAGGCAAAGGAGAUCCUGAGAAUUUCAUUUCAGGCAAGUGACUGGUGAUGGUGUGAAGGGUGAAUCUAAGAGGAGCAGAGGCUGGCAGGGGAGACCUGUGAGAAGGCAGUCAUCUAAGGAAGAGAUUAUGAGGACAUAUGGUUGCAAGUAGUAGGCAGGAAGGAAAAGAUUUAAGAAUACAUAAAAGGUAGAAUUAGCAAACCUGCCAAUUGGUGAAGAGGGGGAGUGAGGCAGAAGGAGGAGCCAGGCUGAGUCCUCAGGCUCUCCUUCCCCAGCCAGAGUCCUGAUGGCUCCCUUCCACAGCUCCAGGCUGCUGGCUGAACAUCUCCAUGCACACAGCCUUCUGGCCUCUCAAACCCUCCACUGGAUUCUGCACAAAAUCAUCUCCACC
rnacentral:lncRNA from 1 species